rnacentral:rRNA from 1 species
UGACGGUACCUGACUAAGAAGCUCCGGCUAAAUACGUGCCAGCAGCCGCGGUAAUACGUAUGGAGCAAGCGUUAUCCGGAUUUACUGGGUGUAAAGGGUGUGUAGGCGGCAUGGCAAGUCAGAAGUGAAAGACCGGGGCUCAACCCCGGGGCUGCUCUUGAAACUGCUGUGCUCGAGUCCAGGAGGGGCAAGCGGAAUUCCUAGUGUAGCGGUGAAAUGCGUAGAUAUUAGGAAGAACACCGGUGGCGAAGGCGGCUUGCUGGACUGGAACUGACGCUGAGGCACGAAAGCGUGGGGAGCAAACAGGAUUAGAUACCCUG